GGAGCGGCGCCUGCUGCAGAACGCCGUGCGGAACGUGCUGGACUCACCUGUCCCACCUGUCCCUCACCUCUCUCCCCUGUCUCACCUGUCUCACCUGUCCCACCUGUGCCCAGGUUGCUGCAGUCGGAGCGGCGCCUGCUGCAGAACGCCGUGCGGAACGUGCUGGACUCACCUGUCCCACCUGUCCCUCACCUCUCUCCCCUGUCUCACCUGUCUCACCUGUCCCACCUGUGCCCAGGUUGCUGCAGUCGGAGCGGCGCCUGCUGCAGAACGCCGUGCGGAACGUGCUGGACGGGGAGCUGCUGGGCAGGUUCCUCUACCUGAGCGCCAUGGAGCGGGGGGAGCUGGCCAAGAAAAUCGGCACCACACCUGACAUCAUCCUGGACGACCUCCUGGAGAUCGAUCGCGUCACCGCCCAUUUCUGAGGGACCCAAAAUCCCCCAAAAACCCCAAAAAAUCCCCAACCCCCCCCCCCCCCCCCCCCCCCCCCCCCCCCCCCCCCCCCCCCCCCCCCCCCCCCCCCCCCCCCCCCCCCCCCCCCCCCCCCC
rnacentral:lncRNA from 12 species